UAUUUAACUUGAUCAAAAGUAAACACAAUUUGAUUGCCAUAUAAAAUGUUAACUGUUAUUAUUAAAUUUCUUCAACUUGUAACUCGUAACAAUUAACUAUUUGAUCAGUGAAUUACGAUGGAAAACCAGUUAAUCCAUUUUGAAGAGUUGAUUAAAUUUCGAUUGAAAAAAAAUUCAACAAAAUCAAAAAAAAAGAAUCGAAAUCAAGUUAUGACUAAAGAAGACACUAGAUGUCAGUGUGAUAGAAGAAAAAAAAAAUUUCAAAUUUUUGUGGUUUCAGUUUUAAUCUGUUAAUUUAUUUUGAUUGUUAAAUUGUUUUCUUUUCCAUGUCUCCAACAAUUUACUAAGAAUGAUUUACCUUUUCUUGGUUUACCUUUGCUGGUCUAUUCUUAUUUGCUGGGUUAAAUGUUAUUGAUCGUUUUGGAGAAGGCGUCAAAUUGUCAUAUGGAAAAUGGUGUUUGAUUGUUAUGGAGAAGGCUAAACAUGUAAAUCAAGCUUUCAAUGGUUUUUCUUGUUUUGGUAUCAUAACAAUGGUCAUAACCUAAUAGUUGAGCUGUGGUACUUUAUCAUUCUCCUUGUAGGCCCAGGGAGUCUUGGUGAUUAAAAGCACCAUUGACACCACAUGAGGUGUUUACAUUGACCUUACCACAGAGUCGUUUAGACAUCUAACCUGAUAACAGUUAAAGUUAAAUUUCUUUUCUUUUCCGUUUUCACAGUGAUAAUCAUCAAUAUUAUCAUCCUCAUCAUCAUCAUUACAAGAAACUGGAGAGAGAGAGAGAGAAAUGGAGGCAGGAGAGAAAAUUUAACAAAGCAGUUUGAAGGAUGAUAAGAGAAGAUGAAAACCUUAAAGUUAUCCUUAAUAAAGGUACUUUUCUACUCUGGUACGGAUGAAAUUUAUCGGCCCUUUAGCUCCCGUUGAAGUUUUUUUUUCUUCUCUUUUCACAUCGGACAAACAACCCAGAUACAUACGGAUAUUUAUCGUUUGUCACCUUUACAACACAUACCAUUUAGAUGUAAAACAAAACCCACUAAAGAUAUCAUCUCAUCAGGGAAGAAGACAAGUAUGGAUGUAGGAGAAAGGCAGAAUUUUGAUCAAUUUCAUCUUUGGUCUUUGCCUACAAUUGUUUGCUUCCUGUGGAUCACAUCAUUUCGUUGUUUCUUUCUCAUCAUCAUCAUGCUCAUCCAUUGAUAAAUCAGCAAGCAACAAGCAAAUCAAAGGAAAAAAAUAGAGGAAUCAAAAGCAUAACAAAAAGGUCGGAGGUGGAGAGCUAUUGAUGAUAAUUGAUGGUUUCAAA